rnacentral:lncRNA from 1 species
CAUACACUUCCUGUGAAAGAGCCAAUUCCAAGUAUUUGAUCAUUUCUGGUCACUUCUUUUCUAUUUAUGAUUGGUUAGUUGCAGGCCUCGAAUUUCCCUGAAAUCAAUCGACGGCAAUGGCGUUAAAAAUUGCCGUAGAACGCAACAGCUGUCUACGGAAGUUUUGGCAGUUUCCACGGCAUUUUUCAAAUUACUGUAAUAAAACUUUAAUUUUAUUGUUACUUUGGAUUUUUGACAAGCUAGAAACAUGUCUACGUAUUUCUUUAGUGUUUUUUUUUUCCGAAGAAAACUGAGACUAAAAUAGUGAUUUACGCAUGAUUUGAUCAACAUCUGAAUUCAAGUAUCAAAGUAGUAAUGCACAGUGAAUAGUAUAAGAAUUGCACUAUACGGCAAAAAAUUGCCGUCGUUGCCGUAAUGAUCCACGGCAUUUUGUUCUCCCUCUACCGCGAUUGCCGCGAUAAAAUUCGAGCCCUGGUUAGUUGCACAAACAACAACGGUGAUUGGUGCAUUCAAACUAUUCAACAGGAAGUUUACAAUUAUACUAGGAAGUGUAUGAAUAUCUCGAGGAACUUGAUGAAAUGAAUUGGUCAACCCGAGCCCGAGGUAAUGUAUUGAAAUAAUAUUUGAGCAACACUUCAAUUGGAACGACAGUAAUAUUUAAGUUACCUUGCCAGUUUUUUGUUGUUGUAUAUCCAAAAAGAAUUAAUGAAACUAUAUAUACCUAACCCAGUAAAUGUUUAGUCUAUCUUCCAUGCUAAACAAUGGAUUCUUAAUCGUUAAUUGCGUAAAAUCUCCAGAA